rnacentral:rRNA from 1 species
CCCCUAGAUGUUCUGGGCCGCACGCGCGCUACACUGAACAGUUCAACAAGUCUUAACCUUGGCCGAUAGGUCUGGGUAAUCUUUGAACGUGAAUCGUGAUGGGGAUAGAUGAUUGCAAUUAUUCAUCUUCAACGAGGAAUUCCUAGUAAACGCAAGUCAUCAGCUUGCAUUGAUUACGUCCCUGCCCUUUGUACACACCGCCCGUCGCACCUACCGAUUGAAUGGUCCGGUGAAAUCUUCGGAUCUGAGAGAUGUCUGAUUAAUUUCGGACGCCUUUUGGAAAAGUUGCUUAAACCUUACCAUUUAGAGGAAGGUGAAGUCGUAACA